ACUGCGCGCCAGGCCAGGUUCCUGAGAGCAGACAGCGCGGGCUGGGAGCGCCGGCAAGGGCGGCCCUCGCGCACCUGGCUGCCAGCCCGCAGGGGGCUCGCACGCAGACCUGCCCUUGCCACCUCAGCGCUCGGGUGCGGGCUGGGGGCGGUGGAGCCACGAAAGGUGGUGCCGAGAGCGGAGCGCAGGACAGCGCAGGAGCCCCGGCGCAUCGCGGCGCGCACAGACCCAGGAUUUGUGAAGAGGUGACCCAAAUUUCAAGACAAUGUUGGAUGCAAACGGAUUUGCCAGCAACUGCAUCACUGUCAAAACCAGCUCUGCCCGUGUCUUCCGAAGAUACCAAGUGAAAUACAUGUAGAUGGGAUUUACAUCUGAAAAACCAAGUGAGAAACUGAAGACCAGAGAGGGUGAGUGGUUUACUCAGUUUGGCACAACUGACCCCAACCUAGCCCUCCAUGAGGACUGAGCGCAUGAGAGAUCCUGAGCCACAGCCGCCCAGCCCUGCUCCUCUCGAAUUUCUGACCUACAGGAACUGCAAGAAGUAAUGAAAGACUGCUGUUUAAAGCCACUGCAUUUUGGCAUGAUUUGUUAUGCAGUCGUAGAUAACCAGAAAACAUCGGAUUUACAUUUUAAGGAAACAGAGAAGCAAAGAAGUUAGCAAGCUUGUUUUGGCAGAAGAAAAAACACAAAAUACCCAACCACAGAUCCUCAAAAAUAUUGCUAAGCACUAAUUUUGCUAACAUGUUAGACAGCCUUCGGAUCUAGGCAAUCUUGUUCCUCAGCUGGAAAGAGUUCCUGCCAGCCAUGUGAUUCCAAAUCCACCCUGGACAUAUGGGGAUAAUGAGAAAAUCAGCUCCGGCCUUCCCUGGCCUUCCAGCCAAGUGAAUGGGGGCAUCCCCUGGUGCUUCAGCCCGGGGCCCACCCAGAGGAUGCUAGCUGGCCUGCAGAGGCCUCAACCAUGCCCUCCUGGACUCAGGUAAGACUGAGGUUUCCAUGCCCUCAAAACAAUUGUUCAGACAAAAACUCACUGCCCAGGUCAAAGUCACAGCACCAGAAAGCCAACCUGAGGAUGAAGACAAAGCUCUUUGUUGGCACAGUCCCCUGAUCAUUCGAGGUCAGCAUCUCCAUCAAAAUGGACCCAAUGCUGAGGCAAGAAGGAGAACAUCACUGUUAAGAAGGUAAUGAGUCACAAAUGCUAUUUCGAUGGUUUUCUUUGAAAGAAAUACACAGAACCAAACCAAUUUUAAUUAAAGAUCUUGUCUUUGUAAUCAGGCAGCCACAAAUGAAGGCAAAACUGCUUUCAUGUGGCAUAAUAUACACAGAGCUGAACUAGUUUUCCCAUAAAAGGGCAGGUUCUUUUCUUCAAAUAAGAAAAGAGUUUGUUCCUAACAAUAUGGGGGAUGCAACAGAAAGCUGUCUUUUGCAAAGUAUAAAAUUGCAGAUCCUCCCGUGGAAGCCAUUUCUUGAUGCUAAACCAAUGCGAACGUUUGCCAAACGCACAUGCGAGCCGGGAUUAUCCUACCCUUUGAGAUUAGACAUGUGAUCCUGAUUUUUAAGUGAAAAACGCAGCCAGAGGCCAAAUAAACAUACCUACAAGUACAUCGAAAGCUCAAAUGGUUGAGAAAUGAUUGUAACACACCCCGGUGUGUAUUUCUGAGGAAGAAUCAACAUGCACAUGGAAAUUGAUGUUUUGAUUUUUAAUUUUAAAACGACGACAGAACUGAAAUACCUCCCCUAACUAGGUCCACUGAAACCAGUGAGGAGAUAAUCAUUUUCAGUUAAAUAUGCAUGUAAUUUAAUAAUCCACAGAUGGAAAAUGCAUUUGAGGUGGACUGAACACAGCCAGGAGUUUUUGCUUAUCGACAGCACUGAAUCCUGCCUUGACUAGAGAGACUCGUCAUGUGAUCAACUGUGGCCAGAGGGCAUCCUGCAGACAGCUCCUGUCACACCACACUGACCAGACUCUUAUGAGUAUUUAAGCAUCUUCAGGGAAGCGAUUGACUGUCUUAUAAUGGUCUUACAAGUACGGAACUUUAUUACCUGCUAAUAAUCAGAGCACAUGAUGGCACAAUAGAAUAUACGAGUGAAGUUCUAAAUGCAAGGUUGUUCUUAUUCUGUGAGUGGCAAAACUCAUGCAGUGAGCAGAUAAAGCUGGCAGGAGGCAUUGGCGCCCUAAUGCUGGGCACUAACCACCUGCCCGGACUGCGAAUAUCUGUUGGGUCCUUUCUAUAUCUGGUCUAUUCUCGUGUUUGAUUAUAUCCUGGUGGCAAGAAUAGCAAAAUCAACUCUCCUUCCUAUCCCAUGUGGAGAGGCAUGAUUUGAGUCAGAGAGCAUUAUCCUCUCUGCGUUAUCCAACCCCAUGUCCCAUGAUGCACUUUGUAGACAAGCAAGUGUCCCUGGUGGAGAAUCCACAGCCACACAUCCUCAUUGGUUGCAAGGAUCAGUGUCCAAUAUCUACUGCCAUGAUCAUUCUCAGUUUUACAUCCACAGAGCUUCAUAGAAUUCUAACACCACAGGUCCAAGUAGAGGUUUUGGCCUCAGAGUGGGCUAGAUUCCACCUCUGACAGCAGCUGUGGGACUGUUUUUCCAUCUGUAAAAUGGAGACAAGAGUAUCACCUACCUCAUGGUGUUGGUGGGAUCGUUAAACAGAAUUCCGAUCAUGAAACCCUUAGCCUGCUCCCUGCAUAGGCUGCAUGCGCUCAGUGAGCUAUGGCUCUGUUUCAUGCUGACUUUACCAUCAUGUAAGCAGUUUUAAAAAUGCUAGAAGCUUUAGUCAUAGAAUUACCAUAUGAUACAGCCUACUGCAGAGUCCAGAGGCUGAGGCAGGAGAGUUACUUGAACCUGGGAGGCGGAGGUUGCAGUGAGCCAAGAUCGCGCCACUGCACUCCAGCCUGGGCAACAGAGUGAGAUUCUGUCUCAACACAAAAAAGAAGACAUGUGUCCCCAUCACAGUAUCAUACAGAGUGCUUCCACUGCCCUAAAAUACCCUGUGCUCUUCCUAUUCAUCCCUCUCUUCAACCCCAGCAACCACUGAUCCUUUUACCAUCUCCAUGGUUUUGCCUUUCCCAGAAUGUCAUAUUGUUGGAAUCAUACGCUAUGUAGCCUUUGCAAAUGGGCUUCUUUCACCGAGCAAUGUGCAUUGAAGGUGCCUCUAUGACUUUUCAAGGGUUGAUAGCUCAUUCCUUUUUAUUGCUAAAUAAUAUUCCAUUGU
rnacentral:lncRNA from 1 species